rnacentral:rRNA from 1 species
AUGGAUUUCCAAUACCUUGAGGAUAAGGCGGCUGGAAAAUUGGUUUCCUGGGAAGGCCAAAACAUCACUACCAUCGGUCGUACGACUCUUGUUAGGUCGGUCAUCUCCUCCCAAGCGGUGUUCUCCAUCACGCCCCUCGUCGUGCCUCAGGGUUGCCUCGAUAGCCUUAACAAAAUCGAGAGGGCUUUCCUUUGGUCCGGUGCGGACAAGACAACGGGAGCCAAAUGCAAGGUCAACUGGAAGGUGGUUUGUAGACCAAAAGAAUACGGUGGCCUGGGGGUGCUCAACACCGACAAAUUCGCACGUGCUUUGCGGCUUCGAUGGUUGUGGUAUGAAUGGAGCGAGCCCCGCAAAUUAUGGGUUGGCCUGGGAAACCCCUGCACCUCGAGGACUUCGAGUUUUUCUAUGCUUCUACGACUAUCACGGUGGGAGAUGGUGCCAAAACGCCUUUUUGGGACUCCCCAUGGCUCCUUGGUCGCAAACCUAAGGAUAUUGCACUGCUCAUCUUCGAGGCCUCGAAAAGAAAGAGUUGGAAGGUCCGUGAGGCCCUCAAGGGGAAUGCUUGGAUACUCAAGAUCAACCAAGUCGCGGUUGUAA